AUGUCAGACAGUCCAUCAGCUCAUUGUCUAGAUAUUUCCAACGAUUUCAUUGGGAAUUCAUCUUUGAUUUGGAAGUAGGGAUGCAUAUUGCAUUGUAUAUUUACAGCUGAAUGG